rnacentral:rRNA from 1 species
GACAGAGGUGCCGAGCGUUUAGGCGGAAUCACUGGGCUUAAAGCGUGUGUAGGCGGCCCGUUAAGUGUCUUGUGAAAUCCCCCGGCUCAACCGGGGAACUGCUGGGCAUGACUGGCGGGCUUGGGUCGGCUCAGGGGCAGACGGAACGAGGCGGUGGAGCGGUGAAAUGCGUAGAUAUCGCCUGGAACGCCGAAGGUGAAAA